rnacentral:rRNA from 1 species
CCUACGGGAGGCAGCAGUAAGGAAUAUUGGACAAUGGAGGCAACUCUGAUCCAGCCAUGCCGCGUGAAGGAUUAAGGCCCUAUGGGUUGUAAACUUCUUUUAGACGGGACAAAACCCCUUUACGUGUAAAGGGUUGAUGGUACUGUCAGAAUAAGCAUCGGCUAACUUCGUGCCAGCAGCCGCGGUAAUACGAAGGAUGCAAGCGUUAUCCGGAAUUAUUGGGUUUAAAGGGUGCGUAGGCGGACUAAUAAGUCAGUGGUGAAAGCCUGCAGCUUAACUGCAGAAUUGCCGUUGAUACUGUUAGUCUUGAGUACAGUUGAGGUAGGCGGAACGUGUCAUGUAGCGGUGAAAUGCUUAGAUAUGACACAGAACACCGAUUGCGAAGGCAGCUUGCUAAGCUGUAACUGACGCUGAGGCACGAAAGCGUGGGGAGCAAACAGGAUUAGAUACCCUGGUAGUCCACGCCCUAAACGAUGAUAACUCGCUGUUGGCGAUACACUGUCAGCAGCCAAGCGAAAGCAUUAAGUUAUCCACCUGGGGAGUACGACCGCAAGGUUGAAACUCAAAGGAAUUGACGG